GCGGCAGUAGCUCAGUUGGUAGCUGACGAAGGCGAAGCCUUUGGCAGCCGCAGAAGAGCAUCAGCUUCCCAAGCUGAGGGUCGCGGGUUCGAAUCCCGUUUGCCGCUCCA
rnacentral:tRNA from 7 species